CCGGUCGAGAGGCGCUGCGACGGACAACGAGGUCCGCCACGCUCGACCAGCCCAUUGAUUCCCAAGGGCGCCUCCUGUCA
rnacentral:ncRNA from 2 species